AUUGAACGCUGGCGGCAUGCUUUACACAUGCAAGUCGAACGGCAGCGCGGGCUUCGGCCUGGAGGCGAGUGGCGAACGGGUGAGUAAUGCAUCGGAACGUGCCCAGUAGUGGGGGAUAGCCCGGCGAAAGCCGGAUUAAUACCGCAUACGACCUGAGGGUGAAAGCGGGGGACCGCAAGGCCUCGCGCUAUUGGAGCGGCCGAUGUCGGAUUAGCUAGUUGGUGGGGUAAAGGCUUACCAAGGCGACGAUCCGUAGCUGGUCUGAGAGGACGACCAGCCACACUGGGACUGAGACACGGCCCAGACACCAGCGGGAGGCAGCAGUGCGGAAUUUUGGACAAUGGGGGAGACCCUGAUCCAGCGAUGCCGCGUGCGGGAAGAAGGAGUUCGGGUUGUAGAACGAUUUAGUUCGGGAGGAAAUCCUCUGGGCUAAUACCCCGGGGGAAUGACGGUACCGGAAGAAUAAGCACCGGCUAACUACGUG
rnacentral:rRNA from 1 species